GCCGAGGUGGCGGAAUUGGCAUACGCGCUACGUUGAGGUCGUAGUUCCCGUAAGGGAUUGGGGGUUCAAAUCCCCCCCUCGGCACCA
rnacentral:tRNA from 1 species